AGAGAGCGAGAGAGAGAGAGAAGUGCGUUUUUCAGUAAAUUUACUUGAGAGAAGAAGAGAUCAUGGGAAACUUUAUCUUCAGUUGUGAAUUAUUUAAACAUUAUAUUUACAAAUAAAUUGCGAAAAAUCAAGAGAUAAUUCUUUACAAUAAUAAACAAAAAUUAUUUUUUUUUCAUUUUUCUUUGUGUAUAUACUAUUUUGUACAAAAGGGUUUUGACCUAAAUUUACAAAUCAGUUGUCGAGGGUAACUGUAAAUGUGUCAUAAAUUAAAGGCGUUUUG
rnacentral:lncRNA from 1 species